rnacentral:lncRNA from 1 species
ACUCACUUAACUUUCCCUGAGCUUCAUGAGCUCUGCCUUCCAGUUUAAGCCCUGGAAAUACAUAACGAAGCACAAAAGCCAGCUUUGCUUUAUGAGCUCCAUGGAAAAGACACACAAUAAAAUGGUCAUAUUUUAAUGUGAAAAAUGUUAAUGACAAGUAAAGCCAAGUGUGUCAAGGGGACAUAGUAAAGGGGCCUAAUGUGGCUUGGAGAGUCAGGGAGGGCUCGUGCUUUGUACAACGGCUUUGUAUCUAAACUCUCAUACAAAGGGUGAGAAGUUGGCCAGGCAAAGAUGGGGAAUUUGUGGAAGGGGUCAUGAAAGAUUUGAGGGCUGGAAGAAAUUUCACUCUGGCUAGGGCAUAGAGCGCGAACUAGGUUCUCAGACCCGAAGCCAGAGGAAUGAGUAGAAACUACAUCACGGGACCUUGGAAACCAACGUUAAGAAGCUGCCAAAGCACCUUGAGGAGAAAGACUUGAUUAGUAUUAUAUUGAAACAUGAAUUAUUUGGGAAAUGUCAAGGUGUCUGAAAAGUGGAAUGAGUUAAAAUUGAGGAAGGAAGCAUUCUAGGUAAGUUUUUAUUAAAACUACUGUGGUCUUAAUGAUUAUACAUAUGUAUUUCUUAAGACAUUGUGUUGAGAAUGGUAUUUUUUUUCAGCUUAAGUUUAAUGAGCUUUGUGGUUGUUUUACAGAGCAAAGAUAGCCUACUGCACUGAAAUGUAGUAUUAUUAAAUGUUUCUACUUCCAGUCCUUCAGAAGACCCAACCAGGUCUUUUCAUUCCUGCUCCCAUAGUCUGUAAAUCCUAAACUUGCUGCUUGCUGCUUGUCAGUAAAAUGUUGCAUAUAAUUUAGUUAGAUUUCAUGUUUUUGUUUCUUUAAUUUACAAGGUAAGUGUGAUAAGUGUACUGAAGACUUCAAAGCUCAGAAAAAUAUUUAAAAGCAGAUAUAUUGACCAGGUGCAGUGGGUCACCCCUGUAAUCCCAGUACUUUGGGAGGCUGAGGCAGGUGGAUCACCUGAGGUCAGGAGUUUGAGACCAGCCUGGCCAACAUGGUAAAACCCUGUCUCUACUAAAAGUACAAAAUUAGCCAGGCAUGGUGGUAUGCACCUGUAAUCCCAGGUAUUCCAGAGGCUGAGGCAGGAGAAUCACUUAGAACCUGGGAGGCGGAGGUUGCAGUGAGCCAAGAUCGCGCCACGGCACUCCAGCCUGGGUGACACAGGGAGACUCUGUCUC